rnacentral:rRNA from 1 species
AGAGUUUGAUCAUGGCUCAGGACGAAUGCUGGCGGUGUGCUUCACACAUGCAAGUCGAACGAGGUAGCAAUACCUAGUGGCGGACGGGUGAGUAACGCGUGGGAAUCUGCCUUAAGAUGGGGGAUAGCUAGCCGAAAGGCUAAUUAAUACCGCAUAUGUAUACAUUUCGACAGUUUUGUAUAUGAAAGUAGUAAUACGUCUUAAGAUGAGCCCGCGUUCGAUUAGCUAGUUGGUAGGGUAAAGGCCUACCAAGGCUACGAUCGAUAGGUGGUCCGAGAGGACGAUCACCCACAAUGGAACUGAGACACGGUCCAUACUCCUACGGGAGGCAGCAGUGGGGAAUUUUACGCAAUGGGCGAAAGCCUGACGUAGCGACACCGCGUGAGCGAAGAAGCCUUUUGGGGUGUAAAGCUCUGUCGGCUGGGAAGAAAAAAAUGACGGUACCAGCAAAGGAAGCAUCGGCUAACUACGUGCCAGCAGCCGCGGUAAGACGUAGGAUGCAAGCAUUGUCCGGAUUUAUUGGGCGUAAAGAGUUCGUAGGCGGUUUGUUAAGUCUAAUGUUAAAGAUCAGGGCUCAACCUUGAGACUGCAUUGGAUACUGGCAGACUAGAGUGUGGUAGAGGUAAGUGGAAUUCCUGGUGUAGCGGUGAAAUGCGUAGAUAUCAGGAAGAACACCAGUGGCGUAGGCGACUUACUGGGCCAUAACUGACGCUGAGGAACGAAAGCCAGGGGAGCAAAUGGGAUUAGAUACCCUGGUAGUCC